AAUUGUUCUCAUAACACUUCUUGACUUUUUCGUUUUCCAAACAAUAAAUCUAUUUUAUAAACGUCUCAACCAAACAGACUUUUGUUUAGUGUCAUUGUAGUUAAGUUAACCAACUAUAAUAGAUGGAAUUAGUUGGAUUCAAUCAUUUACAUUUUUUUAAGAAAUACCUAAUAACAAUGCAGUGCUCAUCUCGAAUAUUCAACAAGUCAUAUUCGUCUUACUUGUUAUGCUAUAAAUUUAUUGACUAAUAGGUAUUAAGAUGUAACCAGCAAACCUUUAGGGCACGGGCUGUGAUGGAUGUACUUUACAGGACCAUUCUCCCAUCUUCUUAUCAGAGCAGAGUCCUCUCCACAAACCACUGUGUGAGACCUAACAGAAAAGGAAUGACUAUAUUUGAGGGAAAGAACAAUGAGACAUGAACAUGUCAUUGAACAAGAUUGAACAAGAGCGAUGAGGUAUUUAAGAUUUGGCCAGUAAACCUGUAGGGCACAAGCUGUGAUGGAUGUGCAGGAGGGAGGAUGCUCCCAUCUUCUCAACAGAGCAGAGUCCUCUCCAUAACCACCGUCCUCAACAGAGAAGGAAUAAAUAAAUUUGAGGGAAAGAACAAUGAGACAUGAACAUGUCAUUGAACACGACUUUUGAGGAUGAGACGAUUAGAUGUGAGAAACGCUUGGAGUGAUACAAAACAUAAUCCAGCUCUUUAAUGUACUGAUGAUUUUGUCUCCUCGGAAUCGCAAAUGACCUAUUGUACCCAGCUGAUUCACUACAGCCUCCGCUCUCGAAAUGAUUAUUUCAGGUAGAAAGAAUGGAAAGCUUUGAGGGAUGCAUACUUGGGAUCUUUGAGGACACAAACUGCGAAAAGCGGAAGUGGAGCAAGCAGAAAGUAACCCUAUCCCUUCCAACAACAGAUGGGGCUCCUACAACGAUGUUAUGACUGGAUAAUGUGAUGUGGAGGGGGAACUGCGCAUACAAUUUACACACAUGUCUCCACCCAUCUUUCAUAUUGCUGGACUUUCUUGAAGCGGUCAUUGCGAGGUCAGUUGAUGUUUGCAUGCCGUACUGUGAAGGUAUCACGCCAGCUGUAUCAUAUACUAGCACCACAUCUCUGCCACAAACUACAACUAAAGCUGUACAAUCUACAGCAGUUCUGACACCACUUAUUAGCAGUGGAGCUGCCAAAUAUGUGUGAGUGCGGAAGCUUGUAACCAGCACCCAAUAGGUAGUGCAACCUUUCCUACAAUUUGGCCACCAAUACCCACCUGAACCAUUUGGAUCUGCUCAGAACUUCUUGGAGAUGUGUUGAGUUGAAAAGUGUUUAGUUGUAACGAUCUCUGUGAAGGAGCAGUUAUCUUAACAUUUUCCUCCAAGCAAAGGCUUUUGUGAAAUAUCUAAUAGACUUGGAGUGUUAUAUUAUUGGCUGUUAUAAUUGAUAUAUUCGACUCAUUUGAUGUCUUGAUUCAAUUGAAAUUUAAGACUUGACUUGUGAGAAAUAACCUUUGUUGUUUUUUUUUUAUCUGUAUACGUGUAACAAUACCAUUGAAAUGACUUGUCUUUUAAUAUUGGCAUUGUUUUAUCUUGAUCUAUGUACUUGGUUCAAUACCUUUGAAAUGACUUGAACUAUUAUCAAUAUGAUUAUUGUCUUUCCAGAUAAAUAUGCUUGUAUGUAUUGCACUCUAUCUUGAUGAUUGUGAAAUAAUAAAUGUCAAGCAUUAUUGA
rnacentral:lncRNA from 1 species